rnacentral:rRNA from 1 species
AUACGUAGGGUGCGAGCGUUGUCCGGAAUUACUGGGCGUAAAGAGCUCGUAGGUGGUUUGUCGCGUCGUCUGUGAAAUUCCGGGGCUUAACUCCGGGCGUGCAGGCGAUACGGGCAUAACUUGAGUACUGUAGGGGAGACUGGAAUUCCUCGUGUAGCGGUGAAAUGCGCAGAUAUCAGGAGGAACACCGGUGGCGAAGGCGGGUCUCUGGGCAGUACCGGACGCUGAGGAGCGAAAGCAGGGGUAGCGAACAGGAUUGAAUCCCCUGGUAGUCCAUGCCGUAAACGGUGGGCGCUAGGUGUAGGGGUCUUCCACGACUUCUGUGCCGUAGCUAACGCAUUAAGCGCCCCGCCUGGGGAGUACGGCCGCAAGGCUAAAACUCAAAUGAAUUGACGGGG